rnacentral:rRNA from 1 species
GUGUGCAAUCAUACCAGCACUAAUGCACCAGAUCCCAUCAAAAUUCUGCAGUUAAGUGUGCUUGGGCGCGAUUAGUACUAUGAUGGGUGACCUCCUCGGGAGUCUAUUGCACCCC